AAAGUCGUAACAAGGUCUCCGUUGGUGAACCAGCGGAGGGAUCAUUAUAGAGUUAUCUAACUCACCAAAACCCCUGUGAACUUACCUAUGUUGCCUCGGCGGGGAACCUACUACCUACGCUGUAGUUGUAGGCUUACCCGCCGAUGGACCACACAAACUCUUGAUUUUAUUUUGGCACUUCUGAAUUAUCAUAAAUAAGUUAAAACUUUCAACAACGGAUCUCUUGGUUCUG
rnacentral:misc_RNA from 1 species